UUUGCUAUUAUAUACUAAAAAAUUAAAUAAGUUAAAAAAUUAAACCAAAAAAAUAAAUAUAGGAAAGUUAUCCUACUUUUUCAAUUUCUUCUCCAAAGUACCCCUCACUUUUCAACUUCUCCCCAUUUUCUCUAACUCUCUCCUCUCUCCUCCUUCUCUAACUCCCUUCUCUCUCUCUCUCUUGCUCUCUCUCUCUUAGACAAAAAAAAACCACCACGGCUUGCAGUCAGCCGGCCCUCCACCCACCACGACCUCAGCUAGAGCUCAGCCGGACCUCCCACACACUCAACCGACCUCCACAUUCAUUUUUCUCACCCAAAAGCAAUGGAUGGCUCCAGAGCUCGUUCUCCCAUUGUCCGAGCAUUUUCCAGGGCGUAUCACCUACAGAGAGAACAGGUACUUCAGUGCUAUAAAGGAUAAGUUCGAAGCCUUUAAGUUGACUGAUAAGGUGAAGGAAAGUCCCUUCGGAUCUUUUUGGAAUGCCAGUAUUCUUCAAUUCUCCGGGGUGAUUGUGCAUCAACUGUUAUUGAGGAAAAAGAAGGUCAGUGAAGUUAAAAAUGAUGAAGUGUGGUUUUACGUGGGUAAAACGGAAGCCAGAUUUGGGAGGUCUGAGUUCAGUUUGAUCACAGGCCUAAAGAUGAGCGGUGGCCCCUCGACAGCAGAAUUGAAUACAUGUAACAGACUUCUAAUUUGUACGAUAUUGAACGAUAUGUGUGCGAUUUUAAAUUUGUACGACUUUAUUUGUACUUUUUUCUGAUUUGAAAGCACUUGGUGCCUUUCAUGUACAUGUAACAAACUUCUAAUUUCAGUUCAUACACCAAAGGAUCCACA